GUGGGGAACCUUAGACAAUGGGCGCAAGCCUGAUCUAGCCAUGCCGCGUGAGCGAUGAAGGCCUUAGGGUUGUAAAGCUCUUUCGUGGGGGAAGAUAAUGACUGUACCCCAAGAAGAAGCCCCGGCUAACUCCGUGCCAGCAGCCGCGGUAAUACGGAGGGGGCUAGCGUUGUUCGGAAUUACUGGGCGUAAAGCGCACGUAGGCGGACCAGAAAGUCAGAGGUGAAAGCCCGGGGCUCAACCCCGGAACUGCCUUUGAAACUCCUGGUCUUGAGGUCGAGAGAGGUGGGUGGAAUUCCGAGUGUAGAGGUGAAAUUCGUAGAUAUUCGGAGGAACACCAGUGGCGAAGGCGGCUCACUGGCUCGAUACUGACGCUGAGGUGCGAAAGCGUGGGGAGCAAACAGGAUUAGAUACCCUUGUAGUCC
rnacentral:rRNA from 1 species